rnacentral:lncRNA from 1 species
UAAUACAAAUGUUCUAGAUAACUAUAUGGAAGUUGAUCUGUAUGGACGCGAGAUUUACCAUAAAAAUUAUCCCGGCAACAAAAUCCACAUGCUAGCAUGAUCGAAUUACAAAGAAGAGUUACAGAAGCCGUCGAUGAAUCCAUCUGUAUGGCAGAAUCCACGAAAGUCGAGGCCCCAACCCAGAAGGUUCAACAAAUCUCGGUUUCAUGGUAAUUUCCACCGAUCACUCAGCAAGUCUCUAUUGUCUAACCCUUACAACCUCGUCAAGUCACGGCGGAAGGAACGCAAGUCAGAAAAAAUAAAUUUGUCCCUGCUUUCCUUAAAAGAUGGCCAGUAAAAGCCGCUGCCCGAAAUCAGAGAAGCAGGCAGGAACAUGCGCCAUUUCUGCAGAGUCAAGGACGACGAAAGGGCAGCAAGCUUGAGACACAAGAAAUGCUGUCUCUGCCUGAGAAAUACAUGCCACUUAUAUUGUUCACUGAUCAGUGACCAUCAGUCAUCGUCAGAAUGGU